rnacentral:rRNA from 1 species
UGGGGAAUAUUGGACAAUGGGCGAAAGCCUGAUCCAGCAAUACCGAGUGAGUGAUGAAGGCCCUAGGGUUGUAAAGCUCUUUUAGCAAGGAAGAUAAUGACGUUACUUGCAGAAAAAGCCCCGGCUAACUCCGUGCCAGCAGCCGCGGUAAGACGGAGGGGGCUAGCGUUGUUCGGAAUUACUGGGCGUAAAGAGUGCGCAGGCGGUUUAGUAAGUUGGAAGUGAAAGCCCGGGGCUUAACCUCGGAAUUGCUUUCAAAACUACUAAUCUAGAGUGUAGUAGGGGAUGAUGGAAUUCCUAGUGUAGAGGUGAAAUUCUUAGAUAUUAGGAGGAACACCGGUGGCGAAGGCGGUCAUCUGGGCUACAACUGACGCUGAUGCACGAAAGCGUGGGGAGCAAACA